GUCUACUGCCAUGCUACCCUGAACAAGCCCAGUCCCAUCUGAUCUUGGAAGCUAAGCAGGGUUGGGCCUGGUUAGUACUUGGAUGGGGACCACCUAGGAAGACCAGGCACUGUAAGCA
rnacentral:rRNA from 1 species